rnacentral:rRNA from 1 species
GACGAACGCUGGCGGCGUGCUUAACACAUGCAAGUCGAGCGGAGCGGCGGACGGGUGAGUAACGCGUGAGUAACUGCCCCCCUCUCUGGGAUAACAGUUGGAAACGGCUGCUAAUACCGGAUAGUGGGGGAUGACUCGCGUCCUAUCAGCUUGUUGGUGGGGUGGUGGCAUACCACGGCGACGACGGGUAGCCGGCCUGAGAGGGCGACCGGCAACAUUGGGCUGAGAUACGGCCCAAACUCCUACGGGAGGCAGCAGUGGGGAAGAUUGCACAAUGGGGGAAACCCUGAUGCAGCAACGCCGCGGGCGUGAUGACGGCCGUCGGGGUGUAAACCGCUUUCAGCCAUGACGCGGUAGUGGCAGAAGAAGCACCGGCUAACUACGUGCCAGCAGCCGCGGUAAUUC